GUUUUUUCAUGGUCGGUAUUUCAGAACGUGAGGCAUACAAUCACAUAUAAUGCCAUGUUCGUUCCGUUCUUAGUCAAAAUAAUUUUUUCUUUCGAAACAUGUUCUAGUCUUUAAUCCGGAAGAUAUAAAUGUUUUUUAAACAUGUGUGGUAACCAGUGAUUUCUCAAUAUCCUCGCGAAAGAACACCGUUCUUAUCAUAACCUGAUCAAAAAUCAUUCUUCAAAAAUUGCAACAUUAUGGAACUGUUGUUUUUGAUGUUAUACAUUUCUAUACAUCGAACAAAGUGUUAUUAUAAGCGGAGAGUUCCUGCUUCCCUUUCUCUGUACACGGCACUUUAAGGUACUGUUACAAUCAAGCCAGAUUCAGCUGAUCCUUGCUAUAUGCAAGAAAUUUCAGUUUAGAUUGAAUCGGGUAUAAAUGAAUGCCGUGCAAUUACACAAGUACAAUGUAAUCAGGAAACAGUUCGGAAAGUUUAGAUUGGUCAUACCUAUCUCUCUGUUUAUAAUUAUUACAAGUAUCUUUCACACGAUGAGUUAUAGAUAUAUGCAGAAUAUAUCAUCUCGAUAUUUUAAACAGCUCAGUAAAUAAUGAACGAGUAAUAAUACAGACUCGCUUAAAAGAUCCAUUAUAUCGACUAUAUUGUCAGUAAUACUGUAAACAAGUUGGGAUAAGCGAUAAAAGAAAACAUCAAAAGCUAACAUGAA